GGGGAAUAUUGGACAAUGGGGGCAACCCUGAUCCAGCAAUGCCGCGUGUGUGAAGAAGGUCUUCGGAUUGUAAAGCACUUUCGACGGGGACGAUGAUGACGGUACCCGUAGAAGAAGCCCCGGCUAACUUCGUGCCAGCAGCCGCGGUAAUACGAAGGGGGCUAGCGUUGCUCGGAAUGACUGGGCGUAAAGGGCGUGUAGGCGGUUUACACAGUCAGAUGUGAAAUCCCCGGGCUUAACCUGGGAGCUGCAUUUGAUACGUGUAGACUAGAGUGUGAGAGAGGGUUGUGGAAUUCCCAGUGUAGAGGUGAAAUUCGUAGAUAUUGGGAAGAACACCGGUGGCGAAGGCGGCAACCUGGCUCAUGACUGACGCUGAGGCGCGAAAGCGUGGGGAGCAAACAGGAUUAGAUACCCUGGUAGUCCACGCUGUAAACGAUGUGUGCUAGAUGUUGGGUAACUUUUGUUAUUCAGUGUCGCAGUUAACGCGUUAAGCACACCGCCUGGGGAGUACGGCCGCAAGGUUGAAACUCUAAAGUGAAUUGAC
rnacentral:rRNA from 1 species